rnacentral:sRNA from 1 species
GAUACCAGGGGCAAAAGGUCUUUACACAAUUGAGCUUGCUCAUGUGUGGGUAAAGGACCUUUUGAACCGCCAGAAUAUGGGCAUAAAAGUGGGACAACAGUCCCGCUAUAUGCGAAUGUUUUGUAGAAUUGUGAUUGUUCGAAGUACGAACAAUCCGUAGGUAUC